CUUGUACUCCCUCCAUCCGAAAAUACUUGUCAUUGAAAUGGAUGUAUCUAGAUGUAUUUUAGUUCUAGACACAUCCAUUUUGAUGACAAGUAAUUCCGAACGAAGGGAGUACUUG
rnacentral:pre_miRNA from 1 species